rnacentral:rRNA from 1 species
CCUACGGGAGGCAGCAGUGAGGAAUUUUCCGCAAUGGGCGAAAGCCUGACGGAGCAAUACCGCGUGAGGGAUGAAGGAUUUUGGUCUGUAAACCUCUUUUCUCAAGAAAGAAGUUCUGACGGUACUUGAGGAAUAAGCAUCGGCUAACUCCGUGCCAGCAGCCGCGGUAAUACGGGGGAUGCAAGCGUUAUCCGGAAUGAUUGGGCGUAAAGCGCCUGUAGGUUGUUUAUUAAGUCCGUUGUUAAAGCCUAGGGCUUAACCCUAGAAAAGCAAUGGAAACUAGUAGACUAGAGUAUGGCAGGGGUAGAGGGAAUUUCUAGUGUAGCGGUGAAAUGCGUAGAUAUUAGAAAGAACACCGGUGGCGAAAGCGCUCUACUGGACCAUUACUGACACUCAGAGGCGAAAGCUAGGGUAGCAAAAGGGAUUAGAUACCCUCGUAGUCCUAGCCGUAAACGAUGGAUACUAGAUGUUGUGCAUUAUGUACAGUAUCGUAGCUAACGCGUUAAGUAUCCCGCCUGGGGAGUACGCUCGCAAGGGUGAACUCAAGGAAUUGACGGCGUGNGAGUGUCGACGACGACGACGAGGGAGGUAGG